rnacentral:misc_RNA from 1 species
GAUGAAGAACGUAGCGAAAUGCGAUAAGUAAUGUGAAUUGCAGAAUUCAGUGAAUCAUCGAAUAUUUGAACGCACCUUGCGCCCUUUGGACAUUCCGAAGGGCAUGCCUGUUUGAGUAUCAUGAACACCUCAACUCUCACGGCUUGUCCGUGAUGAGCUUGGACUUUGGGGGUCUUGCCGGCCUGUGGUCGGCUCCUCUCAAAUGGAUCAGCUUGCCAGUGUUUGGUGGCAUCACAGGUGUGAUAACUAUCUGCGCUUGUGGUUUUCCAUCAGAUAACCUUCAGUGAUAUGGAGGUUCGCUGGAGCUCACAAAUGUCUCUCCUUAGUGAGGACAGCUCUUUGAACGUUUGAUCUCAAAUCAGGUAGGACUACCCGCUGAACUUAAGCAUAUCAAUAAGCGGAGGA